CGGGUAUAAUUAGGAAGCUCCGGGUGAGAGGUGAGUCAGGAGGAAAUAGAGAGGAGACAUUGUUCGAACUUGCAGUAGAGAAGAGAACCCCACGUAGAUCACAUAACCACACCAAUGAGGAUGGAAAUGGACCAGGAUCACAUGACUGAGAAGAUACUAACCUUCACCCUGGAGAUCAUCUACCUGCUGACCGGAGAGAGAUUUCCUCUUGUGAAGUCA